GUCGGAGAUCAUUGUUCCCGGGCACAGGUCCCAAAUUCCAGCCCACGACCGAAGGCCAAACGUGCCCGUUAAUGAUUAAACCUCUGGAGUCAGUGCUCAGGGACACAGGCAGGGAGCAGCCCGGAGAGCUGCCGGUCAAGGUGCCCGGCCGGGUGGGGGUGGGGCAGCAGCCAGGCCCCGCCCAACAGGAACCAGUUCCUGCCCAAAGCAGGAGGGGAAAGGCUUUUCCACCAAGGGAAAGCUAAAUAUUGUCUAAAUCCGGCACCCAGGACGACACACAGGCUUCCCAUUGUCUGCCACACAGCAGGUCUCGGCCACGGCCCAGGUUGCACCCGUGUGAGGUCAGGGAGGGUGGAGCAUCCCGGGGAGGGGGCCUGCCCCCACCGUCUUCCUCUGCACCGAGGCACAUUCUUGGGAAAGGUCUUAUGUUGCCAAAAGGGCUUAACCACAUGACACAAGUGAGCGUAGGUGGGCACCAGUGAGGAAAAGCCAUCCUUGGCAGCAGAAGCCGGUGCAGGGGCGACGCUUCAGACCACAGGAAGCGAGCUCUCCACGGUGGCCGAGGGCUUUUCCACUCGGCGAGCCUGGGCACCAGUCCCAGCUCUGCUACCUUUUCGCUGUCGUAGGUUAUCUCAGUUUCCUCCUCUGUAAAAUGGGAACGUGGUACCUGACCUCAAGGUCACCAAGAGGUCUACCGAGUGGCCCCUGUGAAACACGUAGUGCCGGAGCCCUGGUACCUGCAAGCUCUCAAUACCCGGCGAUCACGUUCAUUACGAUUAGGAUCACCAGAUUCUGUUCCUUUGCGAGAUCCUUUCCAACUGCACUUUCAUGUCAGUGUUCGUUUGCAGGUUGAUGUUGGACCGUAUUUACAUUCAGUGUUUGGGGCUGACCGGGAAGAAAUCUGAAAGUGGAAGAGAAGGGAAGGCACCGGUAACCUCGUCUUCCCAAGAGGAGGUCAGAGGGCAGUUCAGACAUUGAAGGAAGAGACAAAGAGCCUUGAAUGUCACGAAAAGGAGGUUGGACUUUAUCCUGCAGGCAAUCAGAAGCCAGAAAGGUUUCAGGAUGGAUGGGCUGAUCAGAUUUGAGUUUCAACAGGCCACUGUGCUGCUACAGACACCCAGACACCGGAGCUCCAGCCGGGGCAGGCUGCAGGAUGCCCAGCCGUGUCCCCAGGAUGCCCUGCACGCUGUCCUGAAAACUAACCUGUAACUGCAGCUCUUGGAGCCUUCCGGAACCCAGAUCCCCACCUGAGAUCAAACCAAAGACCUGGUUUAAGGUCCCUGGUUUGGC
rnacentral:lncRNA from 1 species